AGCGAACGCUGGCGGCAGGCUUAACACAUGCAAGUCGAGCGGGCCCUUCGGGGUCAGCGGCAGUCGGGUGAGUAACGCGUGGGAACGUGCCCUUCGGUUCGGAAUAACUCAGGGAAACUUGAGCUAAUACCGGAUACGCCCUUUUGGGGAAAGGCUUGACUGCCGAAGGAUCGGCCCGCGUCUGAUUAGCUAGUUGGUGAGGUUACGGCUCACCAAGGCGACGAUCAGUAGCUGGUCUGAGAGGAUGAUCAGCCACACUGGGACUGAGACACGGCCCAGACGCCUACGGGAGGCAGCAGUGGGGAAUAUUGGACAAUGGGGGCAACCCUGAUCCAGCCAUGCCGCGUGAGUGAUGACGGCCUUAGGGUUGUAAAGCUCUUUUCUCCGGGACGAUAAUGACGGUACCGGAGGAAUAAGCCCCGGCUAACUUCGUGCCAGCAGCCGCCGCAG
rnacentral:rRNA from 1 species